rnacentral:rRNA from 1 species
GACGAACGCUGGCGGCGUGCUUAACACAUGCCAGUCGAACGGAAAGGCCCUGCUUUUGUGGGGUGCUCGAGUGGCGAACGGGUGAGUAACACGUGAGUAACCUGCCCUUGACUUUGGGAUAACUUCAGGAAACUGGGGCUAAUACCGGAUAGGAGCUCCUGCUGCAUGGUGGGGGUUGGAAAGUUUCGGCGGUUGGGGAUGGACUCGCGGCUUAUCAGCUUGUUGGUGGGGUAGUGGCUUACCAAGGCUUUGACGGGUAGCCGGCCUGAGAGGGUGACCGGCCUCAUUGGGACUGAGAUACGGCCCAGACUCCUACGGGAGGCAGCAGUGGGGAAUAUUGCACAAUGGGCGGAAGCCUGAUGCAGCAACGCCGCGUGCGGGAUGACGGCCUUCGGGUUGUAAACCGCUUUCGCCUGUGACGAAGCGUGAGUGACGGUAAUGGGUAAAGAAGCACCGGCUAACUACGUG